rnacentral:rRNA from 1 species
GACGAACGCUGGCGGCGUGCCUAACACAUGCAAGUCGAACGGAACUGUUUUGAAAGAUUUCUUCGGAAUGAAUUUGAUUUAGUUUAGUGGCGGACGGGUGAGUAACGCGUGAGUAACCUGCCUUCAAGAGGGGAAUAACAUUCUGAAAAGAAUGCUAAUACCGCAUGACAUAUCGGAACCACAUGGUUUUGAUAUCAAAGAUUUUAUCGCUUGAAGAUGGACUCGCGUCCGAUUAGUUAGUUGGUGAGGUAACGGCUCACCAAGACCGCGAUCGGUAGCCGGACUGAGAGGUUGAACGGCCACAUUGGGACUGAGACACGGCCCAGACUCCUACGGGAGGCAGCAGUGGGGGAUAUUGCGCAAUGGGGGCAACCCUGACGCAGCAACGCCGCGUGAAGGAUGAAGGUUUUCGGAGUGUAAACUUCUUUUAUUAAGGACGAAAAAUGACGGUACUCAAUGAAUAAGCUCCGGCUAACUACGUG